AAAAUUAGAUUAAUUUAGCUCAGCUGUGCUCACUGAAGGAUUGGGUUGCAGCUGGUGCUGAAACAUUAGCGAUCAGGCCUCCGAGAUCGGGGGCAAGUCUCAAGUUGGAAGGAAGGGAGUAAGAUGGAUUGCCUCUCAGCAUGCCCGCUCCCCAGGAAAAUGAUAGCCUACCAAAGCAGCCCCAGCAUUACAGACAAUGCAGUGGAACACCAGUAAGAAAAUUUCCUAGAACAUGAAGUCCCAGGAUUGGAAGCAUAUAUAACUAAGUAACCAAUCUGAUGCUUAAAUUCCUUACUGCCAAUUAAUUGGAGAUAAUUUUCCAAAUUCUUGGUAAAAUUUAUAUUUUUUGGAAGACACAUACUUGGAGGCAUUCACAGGAAAUAUAUGCAUAAGAUGGCCAAGAGCCCUCCAGACCAAAAUAAUGUUAUCAAAGAUGUCCAAGGAUCUGCAAAUAAGAGGCAAGAUUCCUCAGACAGGCUGCACCAGCGUGAAAAAUCUCCUUUCAAGAAACAGACUUCGCUAUUAGUUCUCAAUGCACCAAAAAGUCAGCAGUGGUAGCUCCGCCUCCUCUCCUCCCCCAAAAGAAAAAUCACCAAGAAUAAGAGGAUUCAGUCAAAAUUUCUGAGACAAUCUCCUCUGGCUGAGCAAGAGGUGGUCCAAAAGCUUCUGCUUCUUUUGAGUUGCACUUAUGGUGUUGCUUUUUCUCACAGUCGACAGUGGAAGCAACAACGGGUAGGUGUGCUCCAGGAUGUGUGGUUUCAGUGGAUGCUCCUAAUGCAAGCAAAGAAGGGACUGUAAAUAAAGCAGACGUGCAGAUGCUACUACUGUGAGAAGCGCUGGGUCUUUUCCCUAAUGCUCAGUGAAUCCCCAUGACUCCAGGACACUCUUGACUUCCAGCCAAUACAUCACAGUCUUCCCCUGCAAUGGCUACAGAGAGAGGUUAAAAAAAAUAGCCCACAAGAGUGCUCUUUCCUUCUCUCUCUGCUCCUUCAGCUCCAAGAAUAGACUCAUUGACGAAGUGUGUCUCUGUGUGUCUGUCUGUUACCCCAUGAUGCAUGCUGCUUCUUAUCCUGUUCUUGGGCCUUUCCUAGAAACGACCUCAGGCAGAGAACUGAAAAUUAAGCAGAAGGAGAAGGGACUAAAGCUACUUCCCAAGAAUAGUUUCAACAAUAAUUACGGCAGUGACGAACGUGCUGUCUGGGGAAAUGUUUGGGAACCUUCAACCCCUUGCGCACAGGCACACAGUUAGUGAGGGGCGUGCAGCCCAUUCACGGGCUGUCUGAUUCUGACAGCUGAGUUCUUACACAGGGCAUCAUCCUAAGCUCAAAAAUGUCAGUUGGAAAGGAAGAAAUCAGCAUAGCGUUAUGUGCAGAGCGAGUGCCUAUAUCGAUGAGAAUCGGAAAGAGAGCCUCUCCAUGCUUCUCCACCUGCUCCGUGUCCAGGACACUGACCUGUCUCACCUGCUGCAACUCCUAUCUCUUUCUGCACCUGAUGCUCUCCAUCAGGGUUCCAGUAACUCUCCUGUGUCCCUUCAGGCUGGGGUGGAAAUGCUCCCCACCCUGCAUGGCUGCUAUGGCUUCCCUGCGUGCUGCCCACACCUUGAACAUCAUUUCUUCAUUAAACUCUCCUAUGUUACCCAUUUUAAGGCUUCCACCUGUUUCUUGCCAAUACCCUGACUGAUUCACACUUACAAUAUUACAUUACAAAUAGAAAAUCUACAUUGCACCUACAUUCUGACUGUCAAGAAUUUCUAUACCCCGCAAAUACUAUAAAGGUCCUCCCUCCCUCCAUAAAACUUCCCCUCCCACUCUGUCCUUUCUCCAGCAGAUGCCACACACUCCACACUUCACACUCACAGCUUUGUUUUCUGCUCUUCCUUCUGUGGCUCUCGAUCCAUAUGGUGAUGCCCCUAACCCUCCGUCUCCCACCUCACUCCCACCGUUAU
ensembl:lncRNA